rnacentral:misc_RNA from 1 species
CAUAAUUAAUUGAAAGUAUUAACACAAGCCAUCAAAUUCAAAUAGAACAUCAAGAAACAUGGGAGAGAAUGUCAAGAAACAUGGGAGAUAUAAUUAAAUGCCUUCCGAUCUUCUUGAGAUGUUCCAUGGCAGCUAAUGACAAGAGUAAAGGUAAGGCUUAUUAGGAGAAGCCAAGUAAGAUAGGAAUGUUGACAUGCCAUUUUAGGAGGUUCCCUUGCAUAAGAGUAUUUUUGUGCAUACAGGAAAGAACAGAACAUGACUUAAUUUAUAGAAGCAAAAAAGUCAAAUUACUCCCAUAGGGUUCUCAGACAUGUUUAUUUAUUAAGCAUGUCAACCAAG